GGCUCCUCCAAUGAUUUCUCAAAUUAUGCGCUGGUGGUGGCGGUGUUAGUAUACCUCUGCCCUUAUUCCUGUCUAAACCUUUUAGCUCUCCGGCGGCCUUGAGUUGAGAAACCAUUAAUUCCUUGUUAGAAAAUUGUUGUGCGGACUUUAAUGCUUCUACUGAAAGGCUAGAACACUUGUCAUCCACCACGACCAAUUCAUGGAUGAGUAAGGAUAUCAGUAGACAUGGAAUUAUAUCUGGCCUCAUUAUUAUUGUUUCAAUUUCUAGAGAUGGAGCUAAAGACUGUUCUGAAAACUAAGUGAGAAUUAUAUAUGAUUGGUAUCUGGAGAGAAGAGGUAACCCUAGUUGUGAGAGUUUGACUAUUAUAUACCAUAUGUAGUAAUACCAUCGAUUUUUAACUACUUAAGUUUUUAGAUAAAAUAUUCACUUAAUUUAACAUUGUAUAAGAACAAGCAUAAUUAAGUCUUGGAUGCAAAGUAUUACCACCAUACACUAUCAAAAAACAUUGCGUGCUUGGCUCAAAAUAAAGAGUCAGAGAUUCGCACGUGAGGAACUUAUAUUAAAUCUAAGAUAAAUAUAUAAAUUUGUGUCAUGUCUGACUAAUUAAACAUUUAUAUCAUCUACCCAACUUAUUUGAGACUGAAGCGUAAUUAUUAUUGUUGAUUAUUAUACCUCACCAUAAACAUAAUUUCUUAAAUAUAACUUUGUGUUACACUCAAAUAAUAAAAAAAUUCAUUAUUUUAUCGUGUUCUGAGUCAUUUUUUCUGAUACAUAAAUCUUUUUAAGAUGACUUUUGGUCACUAAAUAGGGUGAUCACUCCAAAAGAAGAAGAAAAAAACAAAAUUUAAGAAUAGAUAUCCAAAUUCAACUUAGCAUGUAGAGCUCGCUCUAAUUUUUGGAUUAUUAUUUCGCACAUAUCAUUGGGAUGAAAUAUUGACAAACUGAGAAGAAAUCAUAUUAAGCAUUAGAAACAUAAAUAAAAUUUUGAUCAAAAGAAUAUGAAAAAAUGAACCUUAAGCCUAUCUUAAUUACAAAAAUUAACUUAUAAUGUGAAAAAUUUUCAAAAUUAUGACAACUUAAUUUCAUAUCUCGCAACCGAUUUGGGAUAACUUAAUUUCCUAAUAAUUAAAUUUCUUUUUCGUUAUUCCACUUUCAACUUGUUGAAUUUUCUUAAAGAACGCCUAAUAAUAAAACAUUUUGAUAGUCCCAUCACUUUCCCGAAUUAAUUAAAUACUUUAACUAGUCUGGUCCCAUCCAUGACUUUAAUUAGCUACUCGUUUCUGAGAAGUUGACGGUUUGACUCUUGAAGUCUUUGCCAUUCUGCUGGUUUGAAAUUGAGGUCUUUAUCAAUAUUCAAGAGGUGGGUCCCUUAAAGAAGAAGGAAGGAAAAAGAAAAAAGAGAUAAUAAGUUUUGAGUUUAUGGAUAUUUUAAGAAAAUGACAGCUUAUUAGAUUUUAGGUAACUUAUUUAUACAUAUUCAAUAAAUUUUUUAAUAUAAAUAUAAAAUUUUGAUCAAAACUACUGAAUUUAUCGAUAGCAUUAUAAUUAGAACUCUAGCUUGCUGUGCCUUAAAGAUGUGGCGUGUGGUUCUAAUUGGAACAACGUAUUCAAGCUUUUGAGAAGACUUGAUCGAGAGAGAGAGAUCGUUCAAUUAUCUGUGUUCUCAAUAGCUGUUGCACUUUACUGACUGAAAUAAAUACAUCGUAUAUAUUCUGAGCCACCCGGACCUUACUUCUCAAAGUUUACUGGGUUGUUGUUGUUGUAUAUUCCCGCCAAAGCGACCAUUAAAAUCUAUGUUUUGCCGACAGUACUCUUGUUCCCUUUUUGGUUUUAAGCAUUUGUUUUCAUUUUAUGGAUGACUUUAAGUUUUAGGGAUGCAGCCUUACUUAAUAUUUCUACAAAAUGCUGAUUUCCUAGCAACUUUUACUGUUGUGUCAAGGUUUUUAUAUAAUUAAAAAGAAAAUAGAACAAUCAAAAUGCAAAAUAAUUCCCUCACAGUAAUCCCAAAAUAAUUCUCCCAAAACAAAAAUAAAAACACAUAAAAAGGAAAAAACCCGAAAAUAAAACAAACACUAAACUAACCUGUUUUGAGUCCAAAAAUACUAGCUCCACAAGCUUGAACUACUUGUGUUUUGCUUCUUAUUUUAACCUACAUGUACGGAUAUUUUCCUUCCAGAAAUCUAUUUCGGAAUUCGGAAGGAGUGACCUGUUAUAUAUCCACUUCUUUUAAGGAUAGUUUGACGGUGCUGGUGGAGGUGGUGGUGGUGGACAAGGAGGAGGAGACUUAAAGUGAGUAUUCCAAUUAGGCUUUGGUGGUGACACUGUUGGGUUGCCUCUGCCCUUAUUCCUGUUUAAACUUCUUAACUCUCUGGCAAUCUUGUGUUGAGAAAACAAUUCCUUGUACGAAUAAUAUUGCAGGGAUUUUGCUUCCACACAAUGGCUAGAGAUGAACAAACAUAUCAGUAGACAUGAUGAAAUUAUAUAUGACUUCAUAAUGUUUCAAAUUAUGAUGUAUGGAACUAAUGAGUUUUGUGAAAACUGAAGUGACAAUUAUGAAUGGUUUAAGCAAUUUAAAGAAAUGUCUCUUAGCUCACUUGUGAAUAUAUUUGUCUACAUUUUUUGUUUGUUUUCCUG
rnacentral:lncRNA from 1 species